GAUGAACGCUGGCGGCGUGCCUAAUACAUGCAAGUCGAGCGAACAGACGAGGAGCUUGCUCCUCUGACGUUAGCGGCGGACGGGUGAGUAACACGUGGAUAACCUACCUAUAAGACUGGGAUAACUUCGGGAAACCGGAGCUAAUACCGGAUAAUAUAUUGAACCGCAUGGUUCAAUAGUGAAAGACGGUUUUGCUGUCACUUAUAGAUGGAUCCGCGCCGCAUUAGCUAGUUGGUAAGGUAACGGCUUACCAAGGCAACGAUGCGUAGCCGACCUGAGAGGGGGAGCGCCCACAGGGGAACGGAGACACGGCCAAGACCCCGACGGGAGGCAGAAGGGGGGAAUCCCCCAGAAGGGGCGAACGCCGGAAGGAGCACCGCCGCGUGAGGGAUGAAGUUCUUGGAACCUAAAAACUUUUUAAUGGGGAAAAAAAAAAGGUAAAAGAAAAUAGGCGCGUCUGGACGGACCCUAAUAAGAAACCCAGGCCAACCCCCGGC
rnacentral:rRNA from 1 species